rnacentral:rRNA from 1 species
CGCGCGCUACACUGACAGAGCCAGCGAGUACUGGCGCAAGCCUUCCUUGGCCGAAAGGCCCGGGUAAUCUUGGGAAACUCUGUCGUGCUGGGGAUAGUCCUUUGCAAUUAUCGGACUUGAACGAGGAAUUCCUAGUAAGCGCGGUUCAUCAGAUCGCGUUGAUUACGUCCCUGCCCUUUGUACACACCGCCCGUCGCUACUACCGAUUGAAUGGUUUAGUGAGGACCUCGGAUAGCCGGCUGCCAGCCUUUACCGGCCGGCGGCUCGGCUAGAAGUUGUUCAAACUUGAUCAUUUAGAGGAAGUAAAAGUCGUAACAAGGUAUCCGUAGGUGAACCUGCGGAUGGAUCAUUAAGAG